GGCUGUCUUGAGAGAAGGCACCCAGGUAAUAAAGAGGGUGUGAACGUUAAUCGGGAGUACGGGGCGUAAAGCGCACGUAGGUGGCUGGGUAAGUUGGAUGUGAAAUCCCCGGGCUUAACUUGGGGAUGGCAGUCAAGACUGCCUUGCUAGAGUGUGGAAGAGGGAAGCGGAAUUCCAGGUGUAGCGGUGAAAUGCGUAGAUAUCUGGAGGAACAUCAGUGGCGAAGGCGGCUUCCUGGUCCAACACUGACACUGAGGUGCGAAAGCGUGGGGAGCAAACAGGAUUAGAUACCCAGUAGUC
rnacentral:rRNA from 1 species